CGGACGGGUGAGUAAUGUCUGGGAAACUGCCUGAUGGAGGGGGAUAACUACUGGAAACGGUAGCUAAUACCGCAUAACGUCGCAAGACCAAAGAGGGGGACCUUAGGGCCUCUUGCCAUCGGAUGUGCCCAGACGGGAUUAGCUAGUAGGUGGGGUAACGGCUCACCUAGGCGACGAUCCCUAGCUGGUCUGAGAGGAUGAUCAGCCACACUGGGACUGAGACACGGCCCAG
rnacentral:rRNA from 1 species